rnacentral:tRNA from 6 species
CAGGGGGUAUUUUAUUUAAAAUGUUAAUUUUGGGGAUUAAUGAAAUGGCAUUUGUGCUUUUCCUCUGA